rnacentral:rRNA from 1 species
CCUACGGGGAGGCUGCAGUGGGGAAUUUUGGACAAUGGGGGCAACCCUGAUCCAGCCAUGCCGCGUGCGGGAAGAAGGCCUUCGGGUUGUAAACCGCUUUUAGCCGGGAAGAAAAGGCGAGGGAUAACACCCUUCGUUCUUGACGGUACCGGCGGAAUAAGCACCGGCUAACUACGUGCCAGCAGCCGCGGUAAUACGUAGGAUGCGAGCGUUAAUCGGAGUGAGUGGGCGUAUAGCGUGGUCAGGCGUGAAAGCCCCGGGCUCAACCUGGGAAUGGCAUUGGAUACUGGCGGGCUUGAGUGUGGCAGAGGGGGGUGGAAUUCCGCGUGUAGCAGUGAAAUGCGUAGAGAUGCGGAGGAACACCGAUGGCGAAGGCAGCCCCCUGGGCUGACACUGACGCUCAGGCACGAAAGCGUGGGGAGCAAACAGGAUUAGAUACCCUGGUAGUC